AGCAAAGAACAACCAGAACCUUUAUUUUAGAUCAGUCCUGAGCCUUGAAGUGUUGAGGAACCAUUGAGAGUCAAGUCCAGCUCCCACCACCUUGGAUGCUUCCCCAUGGCUUGCCUGUGUGAUGGGGACUGAGGUCAAUUUGUACUGAAAGGAAGUACUUUAGUGCUUUAGCUCAGGAAACUGAGGCCAGCAGUUCAAAUGAUCCAGUCUGUUCUUGCCACCAGGCAAGAGAGUCAGGCUGAGUCAGACAUUGUGCUCCUCACAGGAUUUUGUCUAAAAGUGCUGCAAAACCAGAAUUCCUCAGCCUUCCCAGGCAAUUGAUUCCUCAGGGCAAUUAAAGGAAUUGUGGUACUUGAGCUGA